AUUGAACGCUAGCGGGAUGCUUUACACAUGCAAGUCGAACGCGUGGCGCACGUGUGAGUAAUAUAUCGGAACGUGCCCCGUCGCGGGGGGUACCUUCUCGACAGAGUGGCUAAUACCGCUUACUAUUGGAGCGGCCGCUAUCGGAUUAGCUAGUUGGUGGGGUAAAGGCUCACCAAGGCAACGAUCCGUAGCUGGGUUGAGAGGACGACCAGCCACACUGGGACUGAGACACGGCCCAGACUCCUACUGGAGGCAGCAGUGGGGAAUUUUGGACAAUGGGGGAAACCCUGAUCCAGCCAUCCCGCGUGUAUGAGAAGGCCUUCGGGUUGUAAAGUACUUUUGGCAGAGAAGCGGUAUCUGAAGAAUAAGCACCGGCUAACUACGUGCCAGCAGCCGCGGUAAUUC
rnacentral:rRNA from 1 species